AGUGAACGCUGGCGGUAGGCCUAACACAUGCAAGUCGAACGGCAGCACAGUAAGAGCUUGCUCUUACGGGUGGCGAGUGGCGGACGGGUGAGGAAUACAUCGGAAUCUACUUUUUCGUGGGGGAUAACGUAGGGAAACUUACGCUAAUACCGCAUACGACCUACGGGUGAAAGCAGGGGAUCUUCGGACCUUGCGCGAUUGAAUGAGCCGAUGUCGGAUUAGCUAGUUGGCGGGGUAAAGGCCCACCAAGGCGACGAUCCGUAGCUGGUCUGAGAGGCUGAUCAGCCACACGGGAACUGAGACACGGUCCAGACUCCUACGGGAGGCAGCAGUGGGGAAUAUUGGACAAUGGGCGCAAGCCUGAUCCAGCCAUACCGCGUGGGUGAAGAAGGCCUUCGGGUUGUAAAGCCCUUUUGUUGGGAAAGAAAAGCAGCAGGUUAAUACCCCGCUGUUCUGACGGUACCCAAAGAAUAAGCACCGGCUAACUUCGUG
rnacentral:rRNA from 1 species